CUCCCUGCUUGGUGUGGGAUCCCCUCUACCCAAGAACACAAGAAAUUGUAGAGAGUUGUUGUGGGUGUAGCCCAGUCUGUCACACAGACCAGACUCC